CAUAAAAGUAUCAUCUCUAUCUGUAUCGUCACCAUCUCCAUUGCUAUGGUUUGUAACAGUCCCAUCUAUAGUUGCUGGCAGAUCUCCAUCUUCGCGAUAGUUUGGAUUUGUAACGGGCCUCUCGAAGAUGUGUAUAACUUUAGAAUGCGACAGUUACAGGUAACCAAUAAAAAAAAUCAACUAACCUGUACUCCUUGCGCAACAAAGUAUACAGCCCAAAGUUCUAUUAUACCUAUUAAGGCCGCCAGUGUACCAAAUAUGUUAACAAUGGUAAAUAAAAACAAUAUCUGAAAAAAAGUUUAAUUUUUGAAACAUUCUUGUAUAAAUAAUAUGAAAGUAUUACGUUGUGUAACAAGGGUAAAAUUAGUGUCAUGACAUGAGUCAUUACCGGCCAGUCUCCAUGUUCUAAACAUUUUUUUGAAAAGCUCAUAAAGGAUCGUAUGAUGGCAUUAUUUGCAACCAACAACUACAUAAUUUGGAUUUCGUGGAGGUAAAAACUAGGUUGAAGAUGCUAUAUUGUUUGAUCCUUUUAUGAAAACUUUAUAAAGCUGGGUUUAGGGGCCGAGUUUUCACUUGUUUUAAAUAGUCGGCAAGACAUCAAAAAGUUAAAAUCAAUAAAAUAUAAAGUGAUGUUUGGAGCUUACUACCGGUGUCCCUUAAGGAUCUGUGCUGGGUCCGAUGUUAUUUUAAUGCAUAUUAACUCUGUCUUCAAACAAUCAUCAGCAAAACAACAACAUUCGCUGAUUAGUGAUUUUCAAUUGGCUGUAGAUAUCUCAGUUAAAAAUGAUCGUGUCAUGACAUAGCAAAGGGCAGUAUUUAAGUACAAAAUGGUGAAACUGUUUCACAGUUUAUUUUAAACGCAUUUCUUUAUAAUGUUUGCGACUGCAAAUUUAAAAAAAAUUAUGCAGAAAGCUUAUUUUGUUGGAAAAUAGAAAAAAAUUCUUUACUUUUGUACUUUUGCAAAAAAUGGCCAAUGUAGAAUGUAGUUAAAGCCUAGUACGCAGCUGAAGUGAAACGAAAUUUUCCAUACCAAUAUAUAGGCUAUUGCUUAUGUAGUUAAGAAAGGAACUAAGACAUUCAAUGGGUUAUAAAAGAAGAUAGAACCGCGGAGUGCUAUAAAAUGAGAGGGUGGAAACUGAAGAUAGGGGUGCAAAAGCCCCCUUUUUGGUUUUUUCAAUAUACCUCGUAAACCGAGCAAAAUUUUGAUAUAUUGCAGAUAAAACUUUUUGUAGAAAAUUAAAUUUCCUUUUGGGAUAAUGUUUUUAAAAAAUUGAAAAAAAAAAAAAUUUCCAUACCAAAAUAGUCGAAACAAUCAUAAAAAAAAUAUUAAAAAAAUCGAUUUUUUGAGUUUUUUUGGCUUUUUUAGUUGUACCUACUUUUUUUUUGGUUUAAGAUAGACGAGUGAUUCCGAUAAAGAAAGUAUUUUGUCUAUUUUUCAAUUUUCUCAAAAAGUAGAAGGCAUAGGAACAUUAUGAUUUUCAUGAUUUGAUAAGAAAUCAAUUAAGGCAGUUUACUUUGUCGAUCAAUUUCGUAUUGAAGUCCACAGUCUUUGUGAAAAUUGUACUCAAUGUGCUUUUUAAACUUUUUUUUCACAAGUUUUGACUUUGAAAUCGGGUAUUUCAAAAAUAAUUGAUUAAAAUAACUUCAUUUUAAAAUUAAUAUUAAGUUUUUAAUUCUAGCUUUUGAAAAAAGUAUCAAUCAAAACUGUAAGUGUUGCCGUUGUUUUCUAAUAAUUUUUUUUAGAAAAUAGCCCCUCCUACCAAAACGCGGGGACAUUGACCCCUCCCAUAGUAAACAAUGAUUGUAUUUAACCCCUCUACAAAAUCUCACUAUUAGUUCUUGGUGCUUAAGUUAUCGAACUUUCCCCUCAAAUGUUUCUGUUUUGCUUGAGUAAAACUAAAAAUACGAAAAAAAGAUGGAUUAAAAUGGCCAUACUUCGGUUAAUUUUCAAUGAAAAAAUUUAGUGAGCACAGCAUUUUGAAGGAAAUUUAAUCUUCUGUUUUUCUUUGGAGCAAUGUUUAUGUCUAUCUCAACCCAAAAAAAAAGUACAACUAAAAAAGCAAAAAAACUCAAAAAAUCGAUUUUUUUGAUAUUUUUUUUAUGAUUGUUUCGACUAUUUUGGUAUGGACAUUUUUUUUUUCAAUAUAUAUCAAAAUUUUGCUUGGUUUACAAAGUAUAUUGAAAAAACCAAGUUUCCACCUUCUCAUUUAAUAGCACUCCGCGGUUUUAUCUUCUUUUAUAAUCCAUUGAACGAUUCCUGCAAUAAAAACCCGUGAACGUCAUAGUUCCUUAUUACCCUGUUUUUUUUUUACAUAAUCAAUAGCCUAAUAGCACAACGAUAUCUUGAACUAAUUUUUUUUUGUUUUAAAACAUAUUUUGUGAUGUUUUUUCUUAUUGUUUUCUUAUUUUUUUUUUAUUUGUAUUUUUAUUAUUCUGAGUUUGAUAAUUGAUAUAGCCAAUACUCGAUGGUAUUUUUUCGUUUAGGUACAUGUUUGCUGUUGACUUUGGAGACUUAAAAAUUUGAGAUUUUUUUAGAUUGAUUUUUGACAUAAGUUAUAAAAUAUCCAAACAGCGAUAAAAACCAAAAAAAUAGCCCAUUAGCACUUAUUCUAGGAUUUUACAAGGAUGUUUUUAGUGCAUAUCCUUAAAUUUUCCCUUUUCUCAAAAAAUACCAGUUUUUCAUAGAUAUAUCUGUUUUUUCAUUGGAUCGCUUUGAUUGCACUGACUUUCCUGAAUCUAAAUCUCUUUUCAGAAAAAUACUAGCACGUACUUGUAGAAAAUAACCCUUUUAGAUUCGGUUGACCUUGUACAAAAAUAAAAAUAUUAUUCAUAUUAAGCUCAAAUUUGGAGGACUCAUUUCUCAUAACAUGAUCUCUCAUAUGACACCGAAUUUGCAUUUUUUAAACACAUUUUAAGAUACUAAAUGACAAAAACAGCAAAAAUAUCUAAAUCCUGCAGUUUUUAGUAAAUCCCAAAAAAAUAAACACCUUAAUUAAGGAAAAUGUAAAAUGUCAACGCCCAUUAUAUUUAAAAAGUCAAAUAUGUAAAGAAAAAUACAUUAAACGAAAUUUUUACGUGUUUUGUAAUUUUAUGUACUAUUUUUCUAUUUACAUAGAAAUAUCUUUAUUUUUAUAA